rnacentral:rRNA from 1 species
UACAGAGGGUGCGAGCGUUGUCCGGAAUUAUCGGGCGUAAAGGGCUCGUAGGCGGUUCGUCACGUCGGGAGUGAAAACUCGGAGCUUAACUCCGAGCCUGCUUCCGAUACGGGCAGACUAGAGGUAGGCAGGGGAGAGCGGAACUCCUGGUGUAGCGGUGGAAUGCGCAGAUAUCAGGAAGAACACCGGUGGCGAAGGCGGCUCUCUGGGCCUUACCUGACGCUGAGGAGCGAAAGCGUGGGUAGCGAACAGG